GUCUACGGCCAUGCCACCCUGAACAAGCCCGAUGUAUGAUCUUGGAAGCUAAGCAGGGUUGGGCCUGGUUAGUACUUAAAUGGGAGACCACCUAGGAAGACUAGGUGCUGUAGUCA
rnacentral:rRNA from 1 species